rnacentral:lncRNA from 1 species
CUGGAGUGGCCCAGGCAGAGGCCCACUUGCAGAGACUAAUGGGAGCCUCAAGAGAAAAUCUACCAUAAGAAAAGGACCAGUCUGACAGCAAGCCCAGCUUCCCAGGAAGAUAGAAGGUUGGAGGCAAGCUGCUGUCCAGGUAUGUCCCGAACCAGCCAACUUGAAGGUAAGUUUGCUCCCUGGGGAGAGAAGGGCUCUAGGUGUGAACUAAAAGCUGUGUCCAUAGACACUGUAACACUGGAGUUCAAAAAAUGUUGCUGUGGAACGGCCCUUCUCAUCCAAACCCAGACGGAAUGUUCUCACCUGCCAAGAGUAGUGUCUUGUAUUGAGGCACAGUGGUAGCUUUCUGGAUCCACAGGCAAGGCCCUGUGGAGUCUCAGAAUAAUGAUAAAUCCUCUGGAUGACCUAGGGGCUGGUGAGGUGAGUGGAGCGCCCUGCUGUGGUGUGUCUGUAGGACCAUUGGAGCCUGAUGCUGCCAAAGCAUGACCUGACCAGCCCUGGCAACUGGUUUAGGAUCAUACAACCAUGCACAUGCCCCUAGGAUUCCUAGAAAUACUAAGGGGAAAAGGAUUUUCCCGGAGCUGGGACAUUCUACAUUUGCACAGGUAGGAGGACAGGAUUUUCAAGAUGCCCAAGAAAGUAAUCAAGCAAUAAUCAUGCACAUCUUCAUGAAGGAAUGGUAGAGCCCCACAUGACCCAUGAUCUGCACCCCACAGGACCCCCGCCCCACUGCUUCUCUGCCCUCAUCUCGUAGCACUCCAGCCCAGGCCCCGCUGGCUGGCCUCCCGUGAAGCACGCUCUCCCCUCAGGGCCUUUACACUUGGCUUCUCCCUUGAUCUGGGUUGUGCUCUUCCCUAUCUUCCCACCCUCUAAUGUCCAUGCGCCUUCUUCCUCACUUUCUUCAGCUCUCUGUUCAGACGUCACCUUUUCUGUGAGGCCUUCCCUGACCUAACAUAAACAGCAACAAGGUCAGUCUCAGUGGCUCACGCCUGUUAUUCCAGCACUUUGGGAGGCCAAGGCAGGCAGAUCACCUGAGGUCAGGAGUUCGAGACCAGCCUGGCCAACAUGGUGAAACCCCG